ensembl:snRNA U6 U6 spliceosomal RNA
GUGCUCGCUUUGGCAGCACAUAUUGUAAAACUGGAAUGAUAUAGAGAAGAUUAGCAUGGCCCCUCGCAAGGGAUGACACUCAAAAUUGUGAAGCAUUCCAUGUUUUU